UUGGAGGGCAAGUCUGGUGCCGGCAGCCGCGGUAAUUCCAGCUCCAAUAGCGUAUAUUAAAGUUGUUGCAGUUAAAAAGCUCGUAGUUGAAUUUCGGGGUUAGUAGGUUGGUCAUGCCUCUGGUAUGUACUGGUCUCACUGAUUCCUCCUUCCUGAUGAACCUUAAUGCCAUUAAUUUGGUGUUUUGGGGAAUUUGGACUGUUACUUUGAAAAAAUUAGAGUGUUUAAAGCAAGCUAACGCUUGAAUACAUUAGCAUGGAAUAAUGAAAUAGGACGUUCGAUCCUAUUUUGUUGGUUUCUAGGAUUGACGUAAUGAUUAAUAGGGAUAGUUGGGGGCAUUAGUAUUCAAUUGUCAGAGGUGAAAUUCUUGGAUUUAUUGAAGACUAACUACUGCGAAAGCAUUUGCCAAGGAUGUUUUCAUUAAUCAAGAACGAAAGUUAGGGGAUCGAAGACGAUCAGAUACCGUCGUAGUCUUAACCAUAAACUAUGCCGACUAGGGAUCGGACGAAGUUAAUUUUUUAAUGACUCGUUCGGCGCCUUACGGGAAAC
rnacentral:rRNA from 1 species